GAGAGAAAAAGACAGGUGUGGCCCUCAAGAGGACACCAGAACUCAUUAAAUGGUCCUCAGCUAAGAUAAUUUUCCACCUCAUCUCUAACACUAGCUACUUUUGGUCCAGUCUUCUCCAUAUUCCUCUCUCUUCCCCAUGCCCUCCCAGGUUUCUGGCCUGGGCUACUGCAGGCAUGUGGGACUACUGAGCAUGCUGGGGAGCCCCCUACGCUCCUAUGGGACGCUCCAUCUGCCCCGACAUUGCAGCAUUCACAAGCUGCCUGGUACCUUGAGGAGAGGAAAAACUACCUUCACUGAGAGGAAUGCAUCAAACAAGGAAUUCAAAAGCCUUGAAGACUCUAAAUUUUUCAAAUGAUUUAAGCAACUGAAAAUGGAAGUUGUUUUGUAAUUAAUGGGUGUUGCUAAUACUGUGCCAAGAAUAUAUUUUUGUGUCAUUCAUUAUUUUAGGCAUGCAUUUUGUAUAGUCCACUCUAGGAAACUGAAAUAUUCUUUAUAAAACAUGAAAACUUUGAACAAAGCCAAUAUAAAUUUAAGCAUAUAUUUAGCACAUUGUGUUUCUUCACCUAUUCUAUUUUUCUUUUCCUCCCACAAAUAUUGAUUUAUAUCUUUCCAGGUUUCAUACUGAUGAAUUUAAUAACAAUGAGUCCUGUCCAUUCUUCUUACUUAAUAUCAACUGAGUAGUUGUGAUAUAAAUGUGUCAUUUGAUAAUCCAGUUCUAUGGCACUGAUGAUACAAAACUGAAAGAAAGCUAUGAUCUCCCUGCCAGUAAAAUUCAGUGACUGAAAUGCAAAAUAUCUAGUUCUUUCCCAUUUUAUUUGAAUAUGUCCCUCCUACCAGCUGCCAUGAUAGUUACACACAUGCACAGAAUGGGAAAGAGAUCUUUUACUUUUCCCAAGUUCUGUUUUGGACGUAUUACAAUUUUUUUUCUUUCUUAGUUAUAAAUGGUUUUGGAUUGUGAAACAAACUGCCUAAGUUGCUCCCCAUCCAAGUACAAAGGAAAACAAAAGAAGAACAGAAAGCACCUGACAUGAUGGUUUCCUUUGCUUGAUUUCCUUUUGAGACAACUUGCUGAAAUAUCGGGGGGAAAAAAAAAAAGUUGUAUGGGUUUUUUGUAUCUAUUAACUAGAGUUGCCGUCAGUAUAUAGUAGUUUGUUUUUAAAUGUAGCUUUUUUUUCUUAUCCUACACCCCUAAUGGUGCUGCUAAUUUAAAUUAAGAUUGGUGAUGACAAAAACAAAUAAGGCCUUUGUUUAGUGCCUCAGUAGCUUGACAGGCUGCAGUCUAUUUUCUGGUUAGGUGUCCUUUUGUUUUUAUACUGUCACAACAAAGCUAAUAAUGUUCCCAAGAAAUUUUCUAAAUGCACUAUUGCUAAUAUCUCAGACCCUUGUUCUGCAAAAAUAUGUUCAUAAAUUAGCUACUUAUUUUCAACAGAAGUGUUUGUGUUACUAAAGCUAUAUGUGCAUAAGUGCUUCCAAGAUCAGGCCCUUAAAGUAAACAUCUUGUGCCAUUGCUGGUCAUAUUAUGUUUAGAAAAACAUUUUUCUCCUAAAUUUUCACGUGUGAUUAGAGUUUUUUGGGUACCAAUUAGAGAUACUUGAGACAGACCUUAUUUUUAAAAUGCUAAGUGUUUUAGGGUACAUGUAGAUGUUACACUUAAGUCAGCCUAACUAGGGUUAGGUCAGUUUUAAGUGCCGAACUGCACAGAUGUUCAGGGAUUUUAGAUCGGGCAAAACAUUGCCAGCCUGAUCUAACUUAGUUCACAUAAGGAGGUGCACUACAUAGAAUCAGUUUAAUCUGUGCCUGAUCUAACCAAAUGUGUGUACAUGUUCGAAGCAGAACCAUGGGACUGGGAAAGCCCAGUUGCUCGCUCCAGCUCCGGGGCUGUGCUUUUUCUGCCCCUGCCCCUGAUUGGACUGUUUUUAGCCCUCUGAUCCCCUUGACCCUCCCUGCCCCCCAUCCCACUAAAACCUUCCCUGACCUGCCCGUCCCACUCAACAGACCUGCUAGCAUUUUCCCCCCUGCGCCCAACUUACUUAGAUUUCAUUCCUAGCGCAGCUCCCAGCGCCAGUGAAUGUGCACACAAGCAGGGACUUGAUUUAUGAUCACAUAGCUCCAAGAUGUGUGAUCCUAGAUUGGGUCCUGUGAACGUGUGCAUGUGGAGUACUGUGUCCAGUUUUGCCCUGCCCCCUUGGCUAUAGAAAGGAUGUGGACAAAUUGGAGAGUCCAACAGAAGGCAACACAAAUGGUUAGGAGGCUGGGGCAUAUCAUGUCUGAAGAGAGGCCGAGGGAAUUGGGCUUAUUUAGUCUAGAGAAGAGUAGAUUGCCUGAAGGGUGUUUCCAAAGAGGAUGCAGCUAGACUGUUCUCAGUGGUGGCACAUGACAGAACAAGGAGCAGUGGUCUCAAGCUACAGACAGGGAAGUCUAGGUUACAUAUUAGGAAAAACUUUCUCACUGGGAGGGUAGUAAAGCACUGGAACAGGUUACCCAGAAAUGUUUUGGAAUCUCCAUCCUUGCAGAUUUUUAAGACCCAGCUAGACAAAGCUUUGGCUGGGUUGGUCUAGUUGUGGAUGGUCCUGCUUUGAGCAUGGGGUUGGACUAGAUAACCUCCUGAGGUCCCCUCCAACCCUAAUUUUCUGUGAUUCUGUGUCCUUAGGCUAUAAUGCUGUGCUCGUAACUGUGGUAUUCAUGUACCUGCCAGUAGAACAUUUAAACAAUGUGACUGGCAUUUGUCAUAUUUUGUUCUAUCUCCUUUUGGUCAAGGGGAGAACUAUGGGUGGGUUUUCUUAAGAAUUUUUUUACUACCCCUACUUCCAGCAGGUCAUAGACAAAGAUACAGAAAUAUGCCUUGCAAUUAGAGCAGAAGGAGUAAAGUUUGUGAUGGUCUUGUGAUGGUCAGUUCUUGUGGAAGUUCACUCUAUUAUGCUGACCCCUGAGAACUUUGUGUCCCAUCUGGGGUUGCAAAAUCAAACGUUCUGGUAUCCAAAACUACUCACGUCUCUUGGAAAUAUAGGUCUUUGAAUGUUGGUAUAAAUGUCUCUGACAUUUCACUUUUUAAUAAAUAUGUUGACAUAUUUAUUAAAAAGGUGCAUACAUGCAUUACAUUUCUACUGGUGGAAAAGUAGGUAGAAACUCUAAGUAUGCAAGCAUUCAGGCAGUUUCUACUGGACUAAAAAUGAUGGAUCUUGUAGAAACUUCUACCACCAACUACAGGGACAACUUCUGCUUUGGUGGAGUUUCUACCAGAGGAAUGAAUGCUUGUACACUUACCCUCCCAAUGGAAGCUUGUACACUAUCCUCCAGCACCCCAGAAUGCAGUGCUUUGGUCCCCUCUCCCCUUCAGAGAGACGGUCUGUAACUUGGCUGGACUCUACUGUUCUGGCCAAGUUGUAGAGCAAACUCCUCCACUGUCAGCUUUGGGGAUAGGAAAGGUCAGUCCCUCUCCCUUGCCCUCAGGCUGUACAACUGACGGUUUCCCCAGCUGAUUCAUGGGCUUUCACUGGUCCCUGAUUCACCCAACCUGCACCAGAGCUGGGUCUGUUGGCUAGUGCCAAAGUGAUAGGGAUCCAUUGUGGGCUGCUGAAGGGGACACUGUUGGGCUUUAAAAGACACAAGACCCUCUCUGGGUCUCUUAUCUGACAGCAGAGAGGAAGGGGUGUUGUGAAGAGGGAGGGCAUGGUAACCCGGGUUGGAUAGCCAGUCAGCCCUGUCCUAUAUUCUUGGGUGCUGUCAGCUGCGUUCAGGUGGAUUAGGGGGCCUGUAAGGCACCCUGGGAUUCAUGCUGUGGAGUCUCCUGGCUGGAUGCUGUUGUCAUUGCAAGCUGCCUGCAGAGCACCCCAUUGGCCCCCUGAAUGCUUUUACACUGUUCUACUGUAAUCUACACUUAAGCAUGUCCAGCUGCUUAAACUAGGGGUGGCCAAACUGCAGUAUGUACACCACAAGUGGCAUGGGCAGCCUCUACAUGGUAUGUGGCAGACCAGGCAUAGGCCAGGCAACCCAGAGGCAGGUAGGUCAGGGAGCAGUAAGCAGAGUAGCACAUCAGGCACAGAGCACAGGGCAGGGAGCAGAAACUAGAGUAGUAGAUCUGGAAGGAGAAUGGGAAAGGAGUAUUACUCAGGGAGGGUGCAGGGCUAAUUUGCAGAGUGCCUACCAAAAAAGUUUGGCUCCUACGGGCUUAAGCUAAACGGCUAAAUUUCCACUAGUUCAUUUGUGUUACUAUUGUAAGUGGGAAACUGAAGAACAAAUUAUAAGCAACAUAUGUAUUUCUUAUUGUCUUCUAAGCAUCUUUUAUAUUGGCUAUAUUUGAAAAUCGAUCUGGAAAACAGGAAUACUAUAGAAAAACAAGAGAAAAUUAUUUCAACUGGAAUACACACGUCAUCAAAUUAACUGGGGAAUAGUUUUGCCUGUGUUUCCUUUGGGCAAUUGUUGUUAUGAUAUGAAAAGGUCUAAGAAUUUUUAGUGGCUGUUUUAAUAGCAGCAUCAGCUUAAUAUGCUCCAGCUUACUUCAUUAUAUAGUUUAUAAGCCAUUUGGGUGACACUUAAAAAGAAAAAACAAAACAAAAAACCAAAUACCACAAAAAAAAUUGUAUUCACCCAUUCUUAGCUUUAGUCACUCUUUCUGGCCUUGCUUCUUUUUUGUUACAUUUUUCUCCUUCUUAAAAGUUUUAUUUCCUCAAUAUAUUCCCAUUGUCUACUUUGAACUGGUGUUGGUAACAUCAGAGAACAUAAGUCUGUAAAAGACAGGCUAGGUCACUGAGUCCAAUAAAAACACCGUUUCUCAGCUGAAUGCCACAAGGCUUUAAUAAUGUGGAACCUGAUUGCUUCCUUCCACAGAAGAACAGUUUGGUAUGGUCUGGAUUCCCCUGCUCAAUGGCAGCCUAGUAUAACUGAGUGGGAUAUGUAGGAGCAGAGUAAAGGAGAAUCUUCUACUUUCUGCAUUAAUUUUUUGUUCUGCCCUGAUCCUUUUUUUUUUUUUUUUUUUUUUUUUUGUAUAUGGCAAUGAUUCCCAAUCUAUGGUACACAUACCACCAGUGGUAUACAGACAACCUGUCAGUGGUACACAUUACCAGAUUUAUUAUAAUUACUUUGUGACAAAAAUUUGCUGGUGGUACUUAAGGUUGUAUUGUUUUAAAUUGGUGGUGCACAAUCUGUCAAAGUUUGGGAACUGCUGGUCUAUGGAGUGUCUGUGGCCUAUGCAACCCACAGAAAGUAGGUGACGCUGUUGUGAAGGAGGAAUUUUUUCCACCAGUUCCUUGGGCAAAGGAGGUGAUCAUCUCAUAGGUCAGUGCGAUUUACAUCUUAUAGAAAGAGACUUGACACAAUUCGGACAAAUACUCUUUGAUGCAGACCUCUCCGUAAGUGUAUAAAUCAGAGUUAUUACAUUUGUUUCUUAUUCACAUGUUUUAUACAAGACAUCAAAUUGCAGUUAAAUUGGACAAUGCAUAAAUAAACAAAUGUGGAUUUGUGUAACAAUAGUGCGAAUACAUGCUGUGAUUGUAGGCCUUUAUCACAUCAGUGACCCAGAAAGUGUUGAGAUGGAAUGCCAUCACAACACUUUGCUCACAAUAAACCUGUUGGUAAAGAAUUUUUAAGUUUGACAGGCGAUCCAACAUUCUCUUACUAAACAAUCUCUGAGCUAUUUUAACUUUGUUCUCAAUACACGUGAUACGAGUGUAGUUCUUGCCAGAUGCAAGUAGGAAAGCCAGAGAAAAAGCCACAAAAGUUCAGUGCAUGUGUUGCAUGAUGUGGAGUUGUGCUGCCCGUGUACACUUUGGGGAUUUAUAUUACUGAUUUUUAUCCACUGUUUUGUAUUUUAAGUGAACUGUAUGUGCAUUAACAGCUAUAGGUAGAACUUUUAUCUAUAUAGAAUCAUAGAAAAUGAGGGUUGGAAGGGACCUCAGGAGGUCAUCUAGUCCAACCCCCUGCUCAAAGCAGGGCCAUCCCCAAUUAGAUCAUCCCAGCCAAGGCUUUGUGUAGCUGGGUCUUAACAACCUCCAAGUAUUGGAGAUUCUGCAGUCUCUCUGGGUAAUCAGUUUUGGUGCUUUAGGACCUGCCCAGUAAGAAAGUUUUUUUUUUUUCUAAUAUCUAACCUAAACUUCCUUUGCUGCAACUUGAAACCAUUGCUCCUUGUUCUCUUAUCUGCUACCACUGAGAACAGUCUAGCUCUAUCCUUUUUGUAAGCAGCCUUCAGGUAGUUGAAGGCUGUCAUUAAAUCCCCUUUCAGUUCUCUUCUGCAGACUAAAUAAGCCCAGUUCUCUCAGCUCUUUCCUCAGAAGUCACGUGCCUCAGCUCCGAUCUAUUUAUGUUGCCCUCUCCUGGACUCUCUCCAUUUUGUCCACAUCCUUUCUGUAGUGGAGGGGGCGGCGGCGGACUGGACACGGUACUCCAGAUGUGGCCUCACUAGUGCUGAAUCAAGAAGGGGAAAUAUAAUAAUUAUAAUGAUAUAACAAUCAUUUAGGAAGGAAUGCUACAGGAAACCUAUGAGGAAAGAAGUGUGAAAAUGCUGAAGGUACAAAAUAUUGAGGCUCUCAAAUAUAGCUAAUGCCAAAAUAAAGACAUCCCUACAAACUUGAUUCUUUACCCUCUUGUGCUUAUGCCAGAAUGCCUUAUAAAUACUACAUGACCUCUAAAGCGGUCCCAUUUUGCCUAUGGUCCCAUGUGAAGCUGUAACUGUGCAUUUAUUUCAGACUGUUAUAGACAAUGCAACAGAGGGAUUGUGUGAUAAAUUGUAACAGGUAUGCAAAAGUUUGUAAAAUAGUGAUUUUUUUUUUUUUUUCUGGGUUUAGGUCUGUCAGAUAGAUAACAUUUCCUAGGUACAGAAAAGAAGCAAUUUUUGACUUGAGGAACAGUACUGUUCCAAAUGUUUAACUUCCUUCAAGCCCCUGAAGUACAGGGAGUGUGUGUGUGUGUGUGUAUUGUAUGUUUACUUCUUUCCUCUCCCCCCAUCCCAACUAGCUCAAUUCUUAAAAUCAGCUGAACUGUGUUUGAUCAAACUUUGCAAAAGAUCUGCCUGCAAAAGAGACCAAACCCAAAAUUUUAGCCCAAAAGGUGAUAGGUUGACAAUGUUCUGAACAGCUGAAAACUAGAGUGUUCUAAAAAUAGUAACAUACCCUAUAGUUGUUGGCAUACAUACAGUUUACUUAAGAUACAAAACCAUGGAUAAAAUCAGUAAUAUAAAUCGCAAAAAUGUACACAGACAGCACAAAUACACAUUGUGCAAUAAAGCCAUCUCCCUUCAGCAGCGUUUAUUCAUGCUAGUGGAUGUAGCUGUAGGACAUCAUUUACCUAGGCAUCUCUCUUCAAGGUACAUAAUAGAAAGGAACAUUUAAUAUUAUUUAAUAAAGCCUAACAUAAGUUAUUUCAACACUUACAAAAUUGUCAGCCUUAACUGAAGUGUUAUCUUUGCCUGAUGAACAUUGUGUAUGAAAGACUAUUUUUCCUCUGAGAGAGCCUCUUGCCUAAAUAAACUUUCAACUUUGUCAUCAUUAAAAUAA